AGCGAACGCUGGCGGCGUGCCUAACACAUGCAAGUCGAACGGUUCUGUUGGGGGCUUGCCCUCGACAGAGUAGUGGCAAACGGGUGAGUAACACGUGGGUAAUCUUCCUUCGAGUGAGGAAUAACUUCGGGAAACCGGAGCUAAUACUGCAUAACAUCUUGGAACGGCAGUUUCAAGAUCAAAGGGGGCGCAAGCUCCCGCUUGAAGUUGAGCUCGCGUCCUAUCAGCUAGUUGGUGAGGUAAUGGCUUACCAAGGCGAUGACGGGUAGGGGACCUGAGAGGGUGACCCCCC
rnacentral:rRNA from 1 species